GUUAAUUAAAAAGGAAGUAAGGAAUAAGAAAAGAAAGAAAGGGCAAAAGAAGAAGAAAAAAAAAGGAGAUAUAUUAAAGGAUGGGGGAACGGCGCGGUGUCUGACCCUUCCCGAUAAGCCCGGUGGUUUGCUCGAAUGGCUCAAGAUUGAUCUGUGAAGCUAUUUAAUAAUCUUCUUCAACGAAAGUCACAGAUCUGUUACUUUGGAUGCUUAUAGGCAAAGAUCUGUGAGCAGCCAAUUGGUGAAAAAUAAAAUGCAACAGAAGAAGCAAGAAAUGGAAAGAAGAGAGACAAAAAAAGGAGAAAAAUAAAAUUUUUUACGAGCUUGACAACUGUAACUAUAACCAACAUUGUUUCAGCGGCUGAGGCUGCCACUGCAGGCUUUGCUUUUUAAGAGAGAGCCCUAUGCAAACUGCAAAAAGCUUAAACGAGUGAGAAACUGAGAAGGGGAUUUCUCUCUCCUGACUUGGACUGUGAUAUAUCGAAUAGUAAAAAAAGGCCUUUUAAUCACUCCACAGCCAAAGUACUCUUGUGAAUUAUCGUCAUCAAUGAAUAGGACACAGCAACCCCACCUGCUACACUUCUUCUAGCCUCUUCACUUCUCUCUCUUCCACACCCAUUUUCAGCUCUCCUCUCCAUGACAAGUACAAAAAGAUGAGGAGAGGUAGCUAGCAAGAAGGAAGCAAACGCAAGGAAAAAGGAAAGAGGGGAAGUGUUUUAGGGUCUUGGUUUUUGAGUUAUUGUUUUGACAAAGGAAUGAAAGUGCUAUGGAGGUGGAGGAGAGUCAGACGCAACCCAGUAAGUUCUCUAGAGUCGGUAAUGACAGAAGUGACACUAGCAAAAUAGGCCAAAAAGGAAGUGGUGACCACCAAUACCCAGAUGACGAAGAAGAUGGAGAUCUCAAAAGGCCUAAUCUUGGCACUGGAAGUAUUGGUGGUGGCAGUAGAUCGGGCGGCGAUGCCGGCAGCGCCAAUAGGCUUCGUGGGUGGCAGCAUUCGUCACGCAUAAUUAGGGUUUCUAGAGCUUCCGGUGGGAAAGAUCGACACAGUAAGGUAUGGACCUCGAAGGGGCUAAGGGACCGGAGGGUCAGGUUAUCGGUGACCACCGCAAUACAAUUCUACGAUCUCCAAGAUCGGUUGGGCUAUGAUCAACCAAGCAAAGCAGUAGAAUGGCUGAUUAAAGCAGCUGCGGAUGCCAUAAACGAGCUCCCUUCGCUGAAUGGAUCCUUCCCCGACACUCCGAAGCAAUUAAGUGAUCAGAAAAGAACCAGUGAUGGUACUGAACAAGGGCUUGAUUCAGCUGAUGUGGAGCUUGAAGACCCCAAUUUUAACCAGAACCAGCAUCUUUCAUUGUCAAAAUCCGCUUGCAGUAGCACUUCAGACACAAGCAAAGGCUCAGGGCUAUCACUCUCGAGGUCUGAUAUUCGCGUAAACCGUGUUAAGGCUCGAGAGAGAGCAAGGGAGAGAGCUGCCAAGGAGAAGGAGAAAGAGAAUGAAUCACGCUUGGCACAUCACCAGAACAUGAACCCCAUUUCUCAAGGCUCCACAUUUACUGAGCUUUUAACGGCUGGGAUUAGUAGUGUAAGCAAUAACAAUAACAACAACAACGGCAACAACAAUGGUGCUACUACUAGUCCUGUUUCUGAGGCCAACUUGUUUCACAAGGAGGCAGCCCCGGCGAGGCAGUGGCCUUUGACCCCGAUGGAUUACUUUAGUACAGGGCUUUUAGGGCCUUCAUCUUCGCGGACAACCCACCAUCUAUCGGGGUUUUCAGGACAAAUCCAGUUGGGGAAUUCAAUCCCUCAAGCAAUGACAAUGUCGAUCCCGCAAUUCAAUUUCUCGGGGGAGAAUUCCCAGGAGCAGUUGCAGCAUUUUCCUUUCGUUUCCGAUCAUUUGAUCCCAGUGGCCACGACACAGCCGGGUCCCGGUGGGGACUAUAAUCUCAACUUCACCAUUUCUUCAGGCCUUGCUGGUUUCAAUAGGGGGACCCUUCAGUCCAAUUCUUCAUCACCGUCUCUUUUGCCUCACCUCCAGAGGUUUUCCUCUUCUCCCGUAGACGGCUCAACAAAUGUACCUUUCUUCAUUGGUGCUGCUGGAGCGCCGCCACCACCAAUGGAGAAUCAUCACCACCAUCAUCAAUUCCCACCACCUGGGUUGCAGCUCUGCUACGGAGAUGGAAGCAGGCAUUCUGACCAGAAAGGCAAAGGGAAGAACUGAUCACUGCUUCGAAGCAUUCCAUCUUCCUGGUAUGCCUAAACAAUUCCCUAUCUCCAGUUUAUUUCAUUCUUCUUUACUGUUUACAUCUGUCCUUAAUCUUGUGAUUUUCUUGUUUCUUUACCUUGUCUUUUGGUAUGGAUAUUCGUGUCCCUCUCUUGAGACGUGCAGUGCAUAGUAAUACUAACCAUGAAUUCUUUAAAAUUUUUUCUUUCUUGGUAAUCAUGAAGUAUGUUAGCCAUUGGGUGUAUUUUCAUGGGUGUUAUGUAUUAUAUUGUCUUUUCAUGAUUCCUGCGUGGAUUCAUGUGAUUUGGAAUGGACAGAUUGUCUCCUUUUUUGUUCUCUUUCUGGUUCCCUUCUCCCUAACAUCUGCAAUCCUGGCCAGGUGUUAGUUUCCUGUGGCUCAGCCAUGUGUUGUGGCACUGACUGGGAUAAAGGCUAACCUUUACAAGGUGAAACCUUAAUUAGCUUUACUGUUUUAGAAUCCCAAUUCCUUUUUUGCCUGUAAAAUUGGGCCACAUGACAAUAGAUCGGCGUUAUGUCGGUUCUUGAAAGCCUUUUAGGGUUUUAGCGGUCAAAUUGGUUAUAUGAAUGAACAAAUUGCAUUGCUGCUCCAUGCACGUAGUAGCAAACAUUUAAACGGAAUUUUGUAAAGACGCAUUGUAAUUAAAAAAUACGCCACCGAAUACUUUAAAAAAAAGCGGUUCAACCUUGAAUUUGAAAAAGUGAUAUCCACAUUUUUUAAAUUUGUGUGCUCAAAAUUUUGAUGGAAUUUUAAAAAAUUAUUUUUAUAAUUUGAGUGGAAUAAGCAUUUCUCAAUAAAAUGAUGGGAGAUUAUUUACUACAUAGGGUAGAACUUAAAUUAUAGUAUUAUUCCUAAAUUGAGUUGAAUUUCUAAUUAGAUUAUGAAUAAAGAAAUUAAUACUAUAAAUCGAAGUAUUGUAGAGAGUUUAUUUGGUUUUGUAUGAGAGGCUCUUGCCAUUGCAUUUCUUUGAAAGGCUUAGUAGGUAGGGUUUUAUGGAUUGGUAGGAUGUGAAACUCAUUAUAUAGAGUUAGGGAUUUUUUUUUUAGGGAGUAGGGAUUUCUUCUACAUUGUGAUAUUUAGACAAAUGUAUAUUUUACAUUUGAG
rnacentral:misc_RNA from 1 species